rnacentral:rRNA from 1 species
UGGGGAAUAUUGGACAAUGGGCGAAAGCCUGAUCCAGCAAUACCGAGUGAGUGAUGAAGGCCCUAGGGUUGUAAAGCUCUUUUAGCAAGGAAGAUAAUGACGUUACUUGCAGAAAAAGCCCCGGCUAACUCCGUGCCAGCAGCCGCGGUAAGACGGAGGGGGCUAGCGUUGUUCGGAAUUACUGGGCGUAAGGAGUGCGUAGGCGGUUUAGUAAGUUGGAAGUGAAAGCCCGGGGCUUAACCUCGGAAUUGCUUUCAAAACUACUAAUCUAGAGUGUAGUAGGGGAUGAUGGAAUUCCUAGUGUAGAGGUGAAAUUCUUAGAUAUUAGGAGGAACACCGGUGGCGAAGGCGGUCAUCUGGGCUACAACUGACGCUGAUGCACGAAAGCGUGGGGAGCAAACA